AGAGUUUGAUCCUGGCUCAGGAUGAACGCUAGCGGCAGGCUUAACACAUGCAAGUCGAGGGGCAGCACGAGUAGUAAUACUUGGUGGCGACCGGCGCAAGGGUGCGUAACGCGUGAGCAACAUGCCCGUAUCAGGGGGAUAAUCCAGGGAAACUUGGUCUAAUACCCCAUAGCAAUUGAAGGAGGCAUCUUCUUUGAUUUAAAGCUUUGGUGGAUACGGAUUGGCUCGCGUGACAUUAGCUAGAUGGUAAGGUAACGGCUUACCAUGGCUACGAUGUCUAGGGGUUCUGAGAGGAAGGUCCCCCACACUGGAACUGAGACACGGUCCAGACUCCUACGGGAGGCAGCAGUGAGGAAUAUUGGACAAUGGAUGGAAAUCUGAUCCAGCCAUGCCGCGUGCAGGAAGACGGCCCUAUGGGUUGUAAACUGCUUUUAUAUGGGAGCAAUAAGACCUACGUGUAGGUCGAUGAGAGUACCAUAUGAAUAAGCACCGGCUAACUCCGUGCCAGCAGCCGCGGUAAUACGGAGGGUGCAAGCGUUAUCCGGAUUUAUUGGGUUUAAAGGGUGCGUAGGCGGUUUGAUAAGUCAGCGGUGAAAUAUUUCAGCUUAACUGGAAGGGUGCCGUUGAUACUGUCGAGCUUGAAUUUAGUUGCUGUGGGUGGAAUGUGUGGUGUAGCGGUGAAAUGCAUAGAUAUCACACAGAAUAUCGAUUGCGAAGGCAGCUCACAAAGCUAAUAUUGACGCUGAUGCACGAAAGUGUGGGGAUCAAACAGGAUUAGAUACCCUGGUAGUCCACACUGUAAACGAUGAUAACUCGCUGUCGGCGAUACACAGUCGGUGGCCAAGCGAAAGCGAUAAGUUAUCCACCUGGGGAGUACGACCGCAAGGUUGAAACUCAAAGGAAUUGACGG
rnacentral:rRNA from 2 species